GCUUAGCCCUAAACCUAAAUAAUUUAGCAACAAAAAUAUUUGCCAGAGAACUACUGGCCACCGCUUGAAACUCAAAGGACUUGGCGGUACUUUAUAUCCAUCUAGAGGAGCCUGUUCUAUAAUCGAUAAACCCCGCUAUACCUCACCAUCUCUUGCUAAUUCAGCCUAUAUACCGCCAUCUUCAGCAAACCCCAAAAGGGUCACAAAGUAAGCGCAAGAACAAACAUAAAAACGUUAGGUCAAGGUGUAGCCAAUGAGAUGGGAAGAAAUGGGCUACAUUUUCUUUUAAAAGAACAUUACGAAACCCUUUACGAAACUAAAGGAUAAAGGAGGAUUUAGUAGUAAAUUAAGAAUAGAGAGCUUAAUUG
rnacentral:rRNA from 1 species